UACGAAGGUCCCAAGCGUUGUUCGGAAUCACUGGGCGUAAAGGGAGCGUAGGCGGCGUGGUAAGUCAGAUGUGAAAGCCCUCGGCUCAACCAAGGAAGUGCAUCCGAAACUGCUGAGCUUGAGUACUUAAGAGGAUCGCGGAAUUCCCGGUGUAGAGGUGAAAUUCGUAGAUAUCGGGAGGAACACCAGUGGCGAAGGCGGCGAUCUGGGAAGAUACUGACGCUGAGGUGCGAAAGCGUGGGGAGCAAACAGG
rnacentral:rRNA from 1 species